rnacentral:lncRNA from 1 species
CUCAGAAAACACAGAAACUUGAAAUUCAGCCUUCCUUCCCUUGGGUCGACCCAACCAUUCUUUGGGUCGACUCAAAGUUCACUUGGGUCGACUCAACUUCUUCUUGGGUCGACUCUCUCAGUAAUUCCAGAGAACUAUUUCCUGACUUCUUUUUCUGUUUUGCCUUUGGGUCGACCCUCUCAGGGUUUGGGUCGACUCAAGCUUGGGUCGACUCAACCACUGUUUGGGUCGACCCUCUCAGUAAAUCCAGAGAGCCAUUUUUCUGUUUUGUUUCAAGAAUCUUGGUGUUUGGGUCGACUCAUGCUUUCCUUGGGUCGACCCAACUCACUGUUCAUCUGUGCCAAUUUUGCAGAAGUGUGCCAAAUGACUUCUUGAUG